rnacentral:lncRNA from 1 species
GGCAACAAGACUCCUCAUCUCAAUUUAGAGAAAAAAGAAUAAGUAAAUAAACAAUUUAUUCGGCCAGCCGUGGAUCAUCCACUAAUAAACAUGACUAGAAAGUAUAUCUUUCUAAGCUUUCAAAUAGUGUCGAGAGUGUAGUUUCAAUACGGGAAAUCUUUUUAAUAGCCUUGAAAUAUAUUUUCGCCUCUAAUUAUAAAAUUUAAAGCUUCAAAAAUAGUGUAGAGCGAACAAAUCUAUGAAAACUUAAAAACCUUAAAAAUUGAUAACUAAAAAAUGCAUUACAAGAUGCGCUAUUUCCAAAACUUGAAAUUCAUUUUUUUCUCAUUCCAUGCAUUUUGAGGUUGAGAUGAUCAAUUUAAAGAUAUUUUUGAGCAUCAAAAUAACUUCUUCUUGAGCAUCAAAACAACUUCUUCUAGUAAAAAUUUUGGGGUGCACCGUGAUUUGAUUGUUUUGAGCAUCACACUUAUAUAAACUUUUCCAUUUAAGAAUGUUAGUGCAAAAUAGAAUUCUUCCACAGAGUUGGAGAGAUAGAGGGUUGGAGAAGACGGAGUUAUGUUUUAUUGUUUUCAAAUUCUUGAAAAGGAAGAGCUCUUCAACACGAGUACAACGAACCACAAUUUUAUAAUAUUUUCA